rnacentral:miRNA from 1 species
AAUAGGGCCUGAAUAGCAAUCAUAUCAAGACUAAUCUGUCUGCAGAAUGCUGUAAGGGCAACUACUGUGCUUUACUGACCAAAAAAGGAUCCCUAAGCAGUAGAUACGCAAAUGUCUGGCAGCAAAGAUAGCAUACCUCUGUAAGAAUUUUGGCUCCUGGUACGUGCUUGCUCACA